rnacentral:pre_miRNA from 1 species
CAUGCACCGGUGGGGUCCCUUGGCCUAGCCUGCACCCUCUCGCAAUCCGGGAUCCCUUGGGGGAUGUCGGAGAGCCAGUUUCGGCCUGAUCCUGCAGGCCAGGCCAAGGGACCCCACUGGUGCACG